rnacentral:rRNA from 1 species
CAAACCCAACCCAAAUGUAAUAGUUAGGGGCUAUUUAAAGGGGGUACAGCCCCUUUAAAAAAGGACACAACCUCCACCAGCGGAUAACCCCCAUACGCCCAACCCCGUGGGCCUUAAAGCAGCCACCCCUAAAGAUUGCGUCAAAGCUCUAUCAACUAAAAACCCCAAAACCAAUACGACUCCCUACACCCACAGCAGGCUAACCUAUGACAAUAGAUGAAUUAAUGCUAGAACGAGUAACCAGGAUACCACAUCCCCCCAAGCGCUAGCCUACACACCAUUAACAGUAAAACCUCAAUAAUAACCACCCACCAUUGAACACACCCUGUCAACCCAACUCAGGAGCGCACACUGGAGUGAUCAAAGUCUACAAAAGGAAUUCGGCAAACCUAAGACCCGACUGUUUACCAAAAACAUAGCCUUCAGCCAAACAAGUAUUGAAGGUGAUGCCUGCCCGGUGACAUCAUGUUUAACGGCCGCGGUAUCCUAACCGUGCAAAGGUAGCGCAUUCAAUUGUCCCAUAAAUCGAGACCUGUAUGAAUGGCUAAACGAGGCCUUAACUGUCUCCUGUAGACAAUCGGUGAAACUGAUCUCUCUGUACAAAAGCAGAGAUAUAUACAUAAGACGAGAAGACCCUGUGGAACUUCAAAAUCAAUAGCCACCCCACCCAGCUCACUAACCCACGGGCCCACCACCUAAGACACUGGCUAACAUUUUUAGGUUGGGGCGACCUUGGAGAAAAACAGACCCUCCAAAAACAGGGCCAAACUCCCUAACUAAGAGCAACCCCUCAACGUGCUAACAGCACCCAGAUCCAGUAAAUCUGAUCAAUGGAC